UGCUCUCGUCAACCCAAGAAUCAAUUUCUACAGGAGCAGAAUGAUAAUUGUUUGCUAAGGCUUGGGGAACUUGUUGCCAAGUCUGAAAUGGGGGCUGGAGCUAUGAUUGGCACUCAUUAACCUGGGAUUUGGGUUUGAUCAUUUACCUUAUUCAAAGGAAGGGUGGGGGGAAGCUCUUUUGUUUGGAGGAAACAAAUGAGAUCAACUACAGAAUGGGAAUCUGGAUGUCAAGCCUGAAACCAAAUAGCUAGCUUUAUUCACUCAAAUGGGACCAAAUAGCAUGCAAUGUGAGGUUUUUUUUCCAGUCUACAAAAUUGACCACACCGCACCACACCUUAAGCAGGAGGAACGUUGUCCGGGCUUGCCAGAGGAAGAGUAGCAGUGAGGAAGGCUUGAAAAGUGGCAAGCCCAGAUGAGAGAAGCCCUUUCUCUACACAGCAGGUCCGCUUCCUUCCCUUCCUGAUCAUGGAGACCCAGACCUGUGAAACCUCCUUCAUGGUCCAUCAUCUUCAAACUCUGGAUUUGGAACAUGAGCACUUCAAAGGAGCAUUACCACAUUCUGCCUCAGCACAAAAACUGCAAUCAUGAAAGAAAUCAGUGCAGCUAUUGUGAAAAAAAGACUCCCCUUAGAAAGAAAAUGAGGCAGAGAUCUGCUGCCACCUUCUGGCAGUUACUGGGAUGAAAUGAAAAUGUCAGCAAAAAAGCUCAAAGGUGGCUGGCUAUAUUUCAGGCAAGGGUGACAAUAUCCCUCUGUCUGGUGCAUGUGCCUGUGCGUAUAUAUAUAUAUAUAUAUAUAUAGUUUGUAAUCAGUUCAUGAAAAAAGUUUGUGAAAACUUUUGGA